rnacentral:rRNA from 1 species
UACAGAGGUGGCAAGCGUUGUUCGGAAUUACUGGGCGUAAAGGGCGCGUAGGCGGCCAUCUAAGUCAGACGUGAAAUCCCCAGGCUCAACCUGGGAACUGCGUCCGAUACUGGAUGGCUUGAAUCCGGGAGAGGGAUGCAGAAUUCCAGGUGUAGCGGUGAAAUGCGUAGAUAUCUGGAGGAAUACCGGUGGCGAAGGCGGCAUCCUGGACCGGCAUUGACGCUGAGGAGCGAAAGCCAGGGGAGCAAACGGG